GGAAGGGGUGAAGCUGGGAGCCUGCCUGGAUGAACUCUGCUUGGAAGCACUGGGAUACCUCACUUCAAACUGAUUUUCAGAGAUCAUAGCCUCGGGGGAAUCAGAGAGGAGUAUAGAGAAAGUCACCCUGAUCUGGUCCCUGGCCCUCCACCUUACCUUGCAUGGAAUGGCUGGACCCAGCUGAACUCAGGAUAUAGCAGGUUCCUGGCACAAAGCUUCUAAAACUCUUGGACUUCCCAAGUGACAGAAGUGUCUUUGCUACUCAUGAGCCCCGUGGAUCACACCUGAAUUUAUGCUAUGAGAUGACUCAAGAUACCCUGAAAGAGAAGAGAUUGAUUUUUUUUUUAGUGUCAGGCACUGAAGUGUAUGAGUUGCAAUGAGUCGGCAGCAUCCUUCCGAAGAUGCCUGACUUCUGAUGCCUGACACUGAACACUCUUAUCACCUCUGUCUUCAAAGUUUGGCUUCCAGACCUUUGGAUUAUGCCUGAAAACUGUUAGCUUAGGUUCUGUAGUUUCUGCCUUCACCUCUUGGCUUACAAACAAUUGCCUCUGAUGUAGUGGAAACUUUAAUAUUCAGCUUUCCUAUCUCAGCUCCACUCCUACCCAGCCCUCGCUGGGUUUUAAUUUUAUUAACCUGGUCCCAUUAGUGUCUACCUCCAUAGGGAUGGAGGUACCUUCGUGCCUAUAGUCUGAAUUUUUCCCUUCAGUGAAAAACAAAGAUUCCUUGCUACACAAUCUUUAAUAUCAGUGCCUUAGGACUUCCCAGUGUCUUCAAUCUUCAAUACCUCUUAUAUUACUAGGCUAUCAUUCUCUCUAGAUGUUUGGUAUUCCUGUACUUGAAUGAUGCAGGAGAUAUAUUUGCUCUCCUCUCAGUCCUUUAGUGUGUUUUGGCAAGGAUUCAGCAAAAGCUUCUGUUACCCAUUUAACAUAUUGAAGGAAAUACUUUUAGAUAAGGAGGAGCCAAAUUUCUGGAAUCUUCUGUCUACUUAUGUAUGCAGAGAACCACAGGCCCUUCUGAUGUCCUGCUCAUUAUUGAAUGUUUCUGUACCAUUUACUCCUUGGAGCUGCUUAUCUCAUUUUUGAAUGUGCCAUAUUUUGAAACAUUCCUUUAAAAUAUUUUAUUUAUCACUGUCAAAUGUUUGAAAUGCACGAAGUCCUCAAAAUGUAAACAUAAGAACAAAC
rnacentral:lncRNA from 1 species